CCCCACAGAUCACCCUCCCCGUCCCUCUUGCAAGCAUGAGCGGUGGGCCAGAACCCUAGGUGACAGAGAGCAGAGGGAAGGCCUUCGGGCCUGGACAAAACAGAACAGGAAGGUCCAGGACACCAGUCCUGCAGGGUCCGAGAGACCAAUGGCCCUUGCCCAGUACCCUUCCCUGUGCCUGCGUGCGGUCCCCACUGGUCCUGAGCAGUAUCUGCCUUAGCCCAGCCAUAUGUGAGGGAGGUGGGAGAUUGCCCGACCUUUACCAUCAGGGGCACCCACCUGGGCCCACAUGCACAGCUGAGCAGCCUCCCCUGUCCUCCCCAGUGACCUGACAGUGAAGUUCUGGAGCAUGCGGCGGCUACCAGCAGCCCACCCCUGAAGUUAGGACUGAAGGUGGCCAGACCCUCAGACCCAGCAUGGAGAGGAAGCUUGGGGCCGACCUUACCAGACCAGCCAGCCAGGUUCACCGAGGACAGAGGGUGUGGCCCUUCUCUUGCUCUGCUUCCCCCACCACCCCCUCUGCCCCUCCCCUGCCUCCCGAGAAAGUGGAGGCCGAGGAGGGAGACAAGCUGUGAAGCCAAAGGGCAUGAUUCAUUCCCCCUGACACCCCGCCUGUCCCCUGCCUUUUCCUCAGCUGGCCACAUUGUCUCCUGCUGAGCCAGCCCUGCCCCUCUCCCAGGCCCUCAGCCUAGGGUAAGACUGAAGGAGAAGCAGGGAGAAGCCCCGUCUAUCUGCCAGUAAGCUAGCCCCUUCUGGGUCUCCAAGCCCCACCCCCGGAGCCACUGCACCUGCCUCUGAGCCCACCCAGGUAGUUCUCAGGUAACCAUGGAGACCAGAUGUAAGCAGCGGAGUCCUGCAGCUGACCCGAAACCCUACAGCCACCCACAGCCAAUCCCGGUGGGGCCCAGUCCUUCCUCGAGGUUCCCUUCGGCUGGGACCUCCGUGGAGCUGCUUAAACAGUUCCUUUGGGGAGAAGGUCAGCAAUACUGCAGUCAUUUAAUGUAUUGAUUUUUUAUUUUUAUGUUUUGCUGUUGCCUCCUGGAAACUGACUUGAAGUUUCUUCCCAUUCGUCCCUCCGCUCCUGGCGGGGGGUCUUCUCUCUGGCGCUCCAGGGCCCUCCCUCUGAUGACUCUCAGAUGAGGGAAAGUCCUCUCCACUGACCAUUGUUCCAACCCUGCCCAUCCCGGCAUACCUUCUAGGAUAGACCAGGUCUCUAGGCCGCCUGAUGCCACAGUGCCUUUCUCCAUCCUGAGGCCUGGCAUCACGCUGGGCAGCCUUAUGCUAGCCAUGCCCGCAGUCCACAUGUGUCUUCUCCUCCAGGGCCUUGUGCCCACAGCCCCUGGUCAUAGCGUCCACCCCAACAGCCCAGGACCAGGGAGCCCACGCUCCCAAGAGUCCUGGGAUGUCGCUUGGUGGACCUCCACUAUGUAGGUGUGGGUAGUAAGGAUACCACAUCCUUUGCCUAACCCCCAGCCAAUUAUGUCGUCCUCU
rnacentral:lncRNA from 1 species